rnacentral:rRNA from 1 species
AUUGAACGCUGGCGGCAGGCCUAACACAUGCAAGUCGAGCGGAUGAGGGGAGCUUGCUCCCUGAUUUAGCGGCGGACGGGUGAGUAAUGCCUAGGAAUCUGCCUGGUAUUGGGGGAUAACGUUCCGAAAGGAACGCUAAUACCGCAUACGUCCUACGGGAGAAAGCCGGGGACCUUCGGGCCUUGCGCUAUCAGAUGAGCCUAGGUCGGAUUAGCUAGUUGGUGAGGUAAUGGCUCACCAAGGCGACGAUCCGUAACUGGUCUGAGAGGGUGAUCAGUCACACUGGAACUGAGACACGGUCCAGACUCCUACGGGAGGCAGCAGUGGGGAAUAUUGGACAAUGGGCGAAAGCCUGAUCCAGCCAUGCCGCGUGUGUGAAGAAGGUCUUCGGAUUGUAAAGCACUUUAAGUUGGGAGGAAGGGCUGCUGGUUAAUACCCUGCCGUUUUGACGUUACCAACAGAAUAAGCACCGGCUAACUUCGUG